AAUAUUGGAGCCCAGUCUAAGAUCACCACGCCCUGUGGCAACGACUGAGUGCCCAACAUUAUGUUGU
rnacentral:sRNA from 1 species